rnacentral:lncRNA from 1 species
GGGGAUGGAGGAAUCCCAGAGGUUGGCCCCGUCUGAGAAGGCUGGAGGUUAGGGUAGGAAGAGGUAAGGGUUUGGGAAGGUAGUUCUAGGCUGACUGAAGAGUGUGAGCAAAAGCAGAGGCAGAUGGCAAUAAUGUCCAGGUUGUGGAACAUUAGCUCAUUGGGCUUGCUAAUGCAGCACCCAUGAAUGAAAUUUACCCUCUUCCUCUCAGAUAGCUCCUGCACUCAAUAACUCCCAUUUAGGGCACACUGUGCAUAAAGCUCCCAACCAUGAAGAGCAGGGAGGAUCUGCCUCUAACAGUCAGGUAACUCACAAAGACUGGAAGGAAGUGACUGGGUUACACAUGGCCAGUUUCUUCUCCAAACUCAAUAAUUGGGUAACUCUCUGCCUCCUCAUCUGAGAACAAGGGAGUGGGAGGGAGGCAAACAAGAAAAGAGAAGAAGCAGUGGAGAAAGGAGACGUUCUGCAGUGCCAGGCUUCUUGCCCCACACUCUUCCCAAAUGUCAACAUAGUUCCUUUAGGGGAAAAAAGUGGGAGGCUAGAAUGGUAGGACAGGGCCACAAUAUGGAAGUGAAAAACCAGGGGCAGUUUCCUGAGCAGGGAAUGAUGUCAUUCGAUCUAUAAUUCAGUCUGGUUAAUCUACUUAUGCAACACCAAUUGAAGGACACACUUAGAUAACUCAGCCUUGAGUCAACAAAUCUUGUGUAACACUGCCA